GAAGGGGCGAAAGAUCUAGCUAUUAAAGAGGCUAGUGGCAUUGUGGAUGUAGAAAGUAUAAAGCACAUAGCAGAAAACCAGACAUUGAUAGGAGACGUGGUCGGGAAGACUGCUGAUGACUGGAAAGUUCAGAAGGAACUAUUUUAUCAAAAAACAGGCAUUCUUCAUCAGCCUGUGAAAAAAGACUCAGUUGACGUUGUUGGAGGAGAGCAUGAUAAGUCCCAACA
rnacentral:misc_RNA from 1 species